AAUGUUAGAGAACUCUGGGGAGGGAGGGCCUUUCUUUAGUGACAUAUCUCUUGAUAGACCGCAGGAACCCUAACCUUAACCUCUGAUGGUAGUGAGAAGCUUUGGUCACUGGAUGGGGCGGUAGAGAGGGAGCCAGCGGUCUGUUAGGGCAGAUCAGGCAGUAUACCCCUGAAGAGUGAGCCCACCAAAGCUAGUUAAGGAAGGUCCUUGCAGGGGUUUAGCAGGAAUGGGGAAAGCUUUGGUUCUGCUAUGGGUCAGGUUAAAAUUGGAGGGGCAUGCAAGGAACCCUCGUUUAACUUUUAAGAGGGAGUUCUUCAGGCUGUUCAAGUGAUUGGCAUUUUCAAGUCUGUUAAAUCACCUUUGAGGCCAUGACAGGAGGAAGGUGAAGUUAUUAGAAAACAUGGCAUCCCCGUGAAUUGGUAGCUCACUGUGCAGGGCCACUCCCCCACUCCAGUCCAAAGGUGAGGGCAUGUCCUUUCAGAGCCCGGCCCCUCCCUUCAUGGCUCUCCCUUACUGGGGCUCACAAGUUCCAGUCAAGGAAAGACCUGAGCUGGGCAGGUAACUCUGAGUCCCAAACCGGUUUUCCCACCUUACUUAGGGCUGGCGUAUUACCUCUGGUAAUUUCCCAAUCCCUAACAUACCCCAGCCACCAAGUUCUCCCCACACUGGAAUGUAAGGGGGUGGGAGAUAUCCAAAUCAUCCUUUGUGCCUUGUUUGCCCUGGGUAUGGUUCCUUCCAAAAAGGCUGUCCAUAAAUGUUUGGGUCUUUUGUAUUUCUGACACUAGGAAAUUAUCUCCAAGUUUUGAAAAUUAGUUUUUGGUUUUUUUAAUGCAAAUUUUGCUUAUAUUUGUACUGGGGUAGGGAUGAACCCAGGGUCUAGAGCAACCUAGGCAAGAGCCUCACUGCUGAGCCACACUUCCCCCUGAGUGUUUGGAUUCCAUUUGGCAUCAGCCCUUCCUCUAAUUGGAACUUUGGAGGAAGAGACCAGAAAGCCUAGCCUAUCUAACGGGCCUGCUCUAAGUAGUAAGUAGGAGGGAGCAGGGGUGUUUCCUCUAGAUGCCAGACAGGUCCUUUAUCUCUAGUACCAAGACGAAUCACUUCACUCUGCCUCCUGCCAAUAAGAACCUCUUACUGGUCCCAGGAUUUAACACAAUCUGAUGCCAAUAGGGCCCUUUCUCUAUGCUAGGUGUCACACUCUCAGAUGCCCUUAUGAGGUAACAAAACCCACGAUAAACAGGCAGAAGAGGUUCAGUAAUGUGCCCAGAGCUACAUUAGGCUGCUGGAAGCAAACUCAGGCAGGCUCUGGAAGAUCCCUUCAGUACUUUGUAUGCCUUCGUUACAGAGGGUCCUGUGUUCCUACCCCUCCUGGUUGCAGAAAUCAGUUUCUAGCCCUUCAUAGAAUAUCCCUCCUGUGAAUGAUAAGGGAUGUGACGGUGUCUGUCAAAGCUCUUGCUUUCAUGUAUACAGCAGAUUCCUAAUCCCUAAUCCCCAUACAAAUACAGGCCGCUUAUACCUUUUUCCGUUUUGUAAAUUUCUUUCAAAAUAAAUUAUUGGGACAAGUAGAUGAAAACUUUCUUUUUUACAAAGAAGGAAAUAGGGUUAAGGGAUUAAAUGACCUUGCCCAAGAAAAUGGCCUUAAAUUGCUCUCCCUGGGAAUCUGGGUUACAUAUUAAAUGCCCAGUAGGAUACAUUGGGAUGAGGAAAUGGCAAUGACCCUAGGUCUACAGAGCUUUGGAGGGAGCUAGUGGGGAAGCAGUGGCUGUGCUUCCAAAGGGCCCAGGUUUGAUCUCCAGCACCCACAUAGUGGCUCACAGCCAUCUGUAACUCUAGUUCUAGGGGAUCCAACACCUGCCCUCUGCAGGCACCAGGAACACAUGUGGUACACAAAUAUACAUACAGCUAAAACACCCAUACACAUACAAAAAUAAAAUACUUAUUUAAAAAUAGACAACUUGUCACACAGCAUCAGUAGGUAUCAGACUAACGGAGUGCCCGCCUCCCUAAACGCUAACAAGCAUGGAGAUGCUGCUUCCUUUAGGACUGACAGAUGGCACAGAAGGGGAAUGGUUUCUGGGGACAUAGCUGGUUUUGGCAAAGCCCAGGUUGGGCAGUGAUUGAUCAGCAAGUGAUGUGGGCAGACGGGUGAUGCCUUCUUGGAGAGAAAGGAAGAUAAGUACAGAUAAUUGCCCUUUCAAAGCUGGGACCCAGGGGAAAGAUAUGGAAAAACUACAACUCCCAGAAGUCUCUGUUUCCAGGCAAGUAGCGACGGUUGCUAUGGUUUCAGAAAACAAUAUGGCUGCUCCCAGAUGGGAUUUGAGUCUGUGCCGAGUUGGAAAGUAAACGUAGAUCUGAACGCUCGCAGUGGCGAGAGGAAGCACUUGAAGGGUCCUGGGGCUGGCGUUGGGCUCUGUGGGGAACACUGAGGCCUUGUUCAGAAGCCAAUGGCAAGCACCGUGGACGAGGAGUCUCUGCACCAGCUGUACCUGUGGGUAGACAACAUCCCUCUGUCCCGACCCAAGAGAAACCUCUCCAGGGACUUCAGUGACGGAGUCCUGGUUGCAGAGCUUAUCAAGUUUUACUUCCCCAAGAUGGUGGAGAUGCACAAUUAUGUCCCUGCUAACUCUCUCCAGCAGAAGCUCAGCAACUGGGGUCACCUGAACAGAAAGGUGCUGAACAAGCUGAACUUCUCUGUCCCCGACGAUGUGAUGCGGAAGAUUGCGCAGUGUUCUCCAGGUGUAGUGGAGCUGGUGCUCAUUCCACUAAGGCAGCGCUUGGAGGAGCGGCAGAGGCGCCAGAAACUGGGUGCUGGCUCCUUACAGGUGCUGCUGCAUGAGCCUGCUGAUGGGGGCGCAAGGGGUGCUCCCCAGACAGUGGACUAGGCAAUGGCGAUGCCUACCUAGGCGAUAAAUAGGAAGACGGGUAUCUAGCUAAGAGAACCUGGCCCACAGGAUUGUGGAAGGAAAAUGGGGCUUUUUGGACGUAGACACCCAGGUUCACAGGAGACCGCAUCUGUUCUUUCAGGAGCCGGCUUCUCAGGAUGUCAGUGGCUACAUGGAUAUGGGUAAGGUGGCUUUCCUUUACCUCAGGAAAGCUUUCCCACACCGAUCUUAGGAUCCGGGGGAGACAGGAGAGUGGUACUCCAACAAGGUCACUUCUUCACUUGCUUUGUCUUAGGUCUGUCCCAGAAGACUCUAGGAGACGGUGCCCCAGCCCUGGGAGGGGAGCAGCUCAGGUAAACUUGAGAGUUCUGACCUCACCGGGCUUGAUACCUUCACCACAAAGACUAGUGUGGCAGUGCCUUGGCCAUUGGGGAGGUGGUGAGAAGGCGACAAAGGAAGGCCUGGUAGCAAGUACUAGAAAGGAAUGGCGGGGUCUGAGGUCCUGGCCUCUGCUAAGCUGCUUUCCACUGCAGAGGGGGCCGGCCACCGGCUCCUAGACCCUCUGGAUAUAACCAGGCGCUGCAGGGCGAUCCCAGCUUCGUCCUUCAGAUCGCUGAAAAAGAGCAGGAGCUGUUGGCCUCUCAAGAGACAGUGCAGGUCCUGCAGAUGAAGGUGAAGCGUCUGGAACACCUGCUCCAACUCAAGAACGUGCGCAUCGAUGACCUCUCCCGGAGGCUCCAGCAGGCCGAGCGCAAGCAGCGGUGAGCAGUGCCCGGGCUGCGCGGG